UGGAGAACAAAAAUACACACUACAGUAAUGCGCCAUUGACACCAGGAACCCUUAAGCAACGUCCCAACAAGCUUGCACCUCCAGAAGAGGAAGGAAUAGCCACAGAAGCUACGGAAGUCGGAUAUCGGCCCCACAGGUCGCCUGGCAUCACAUGGACGGCGGGAUGGUCCUUGGGAACUGCACACAUCUCUCUCAGAUCUGAGGCUCCCUGGCCUACCCCAUGAUGUGAGUGACUGGGACCAUUCCUCAGCCAGAGUUAAUGAUUCCAUCCCAGUCAUCCAUAUGAGAAUGCCCUAGACACAGGACUGGACCAAGAAGUCUCCACUCACCUCCUCUGCAGGCCUGGAUUAUAAAGAUCUUUGGUUUCUCUUGAAGUGCCGGACAAUUUUUAUUAUUAAACAUUUCAAAAAUGUC